rnacentral:rRNA from 1 species
GACGAACGCUGGCGGCGUGCUUAACACAUGCAAGUCGAACGAGUGGCGAACGGGUGAGUAAUACGUGAGUAACCUUCCCUCUUUUUGGGAUAAGCCUUGGAAACGGGGUCUAAUACCGGAUAAAGGGGGUUGGGCUCGCGGCCUAUCAGCUUUUUGGUGGGGUGAUGGCCUACCAAGGCGGUGACGGGUCGCCGGCCUGAGGGGGUGACGGGCGACGAUAGGUCUGAGACACGGCCCAGACUCGUACGGGAGGGAGCAGUGGGGGAUAUUGCACAAUGGGCGAAAGCCUGAUGCAGCGACGCAGGGUGGGGGAUGAAGACUUUCGAGUUGUAAAACUAUUUCGCUAGAGAACGGGUAGGUGGAGAAGAAGAGCCGGAUAACUCCGUGGCAGCAGCCGCGGUAAUAC